rnacentral:lncRNA from 1 species
UGCCAAAGGUCUGCUGGCUCUUUUGUUAGGUAGAGGUUUCUUUCUGUGUUUGCAAGUAUGGGUGGUAAUUUGUUUAUUUGUUUUCCACUGUUUAAAUAAGCAACCUUAAGAACAAAGAUCCUUUAAGGAGAGGCUCUGAGACAGCUCUCCAGAGUAUGAGAGUGAGGGGUUUCUGAUGGGCUGUGAGGCAGAUGCUGGCUACGUGGCAGGUUGUGUACCACAGCCUCCUAAAACUGGGAGGCAUCAGCAACUGCUUCCCCCUGCCGUUUCCUGGAAGGAGGGACUUGCUGAGAUGGUGUCUGCUCCUGACCCAAAGGGUGACCAGGCCAGUGGCAGCAGCAACCAGCUAGCUUCAGCCAGCAGGCUCUCUGCUCAGGUCUUUAAAAAUGUAUUUCAAAGCCACUCUGGAUCAAAAGGAGUUCUGAAGAGGGAUAAAGAAGGGGACAGAAGAGAGAGCUGCAGGAGGAAAAGACAAGCGCUGGCAUGCUUGUAAGUGGGACAGCGUGAGAUUCCCCUUGGACCAGCCAUUUCCGUGAGAUUGCUGUUAAAGGUCCGGCCAGUAUCACUGCAGUGAGUCUACAUGAACGAACUCGUGGAGAACAUCCAACAAGCAGGGCCAAGUCUUACUGGCACUGUCCUGGCAUGUCGCUGGUGGAAACUAUACUGCCAGCUACCUUGAACAACAAAUGAGGGUAAAGCUCCAGCUUGAGGCAUGCACAUUUUUUCCCUAGAAGCGUCCUGAUGCUGUCCGUCACUCAAGGGCCAAGAACGGAGCCUGGGUGGAGGACAAGAGGCAGAAAGCCAAAGAAAGAGCUGCAUUUUGCUGAGCAACAUGACAUCAAAGAUUGCCAGAAACAAUCCCUUCCUCCAUCCUCAAGCGCAAGAAGUCCCCUGCACGGGCAAUGUUGUGGCAUUGCCUCCUGCUUUAGGCUGCCAGCGCUCCCUCUCUGCCCCCUUUGCCCAGCUCAGCAGGGUGCAGUGGUGCUGAGCAGGGCUCCAAGGCACCAGGAGGGGAGGAGGUGGCUGCCCUACAGCUCGCUGCACGUCUUUCUCCUCAGAAUGGCUUGCAACCACGCUGCGCUGCGGGGGCUUAUGAGAGGCAACAAGGGAGGAACAGGAUUUACCCCCUAAGAGUUUUUCUGAAGGCCACACAGCGAGUAAGCAGUGGAGCCAGGGUUGGGGCUGAGCUGCUCCUGGCAUUUCGCCCCGUGCAUGAUUCAGAGCUUGUUUCUAAAGCUAGAGAACUGGUUAAAGUUUCAUUUGUCUAUCUAGAAAGCAGCGCGUUCUGCUUCCCAUUUAAAGCUCUGGAGUCUCAUGAUGAUUCAGAGUGCAAACAGGAAUCCGCCUGUACAUUGAUUUUUAGUGCCAGCCAGCGUUACGCCUGUGAGAGAUUAGCUCUGCCAUGCAGGUGGGUAAAGGAAUUAAAUUGGGCUUAGAAAUGAGGGGGGAAAUAAUGAGCUGUAGGAUCUCAGGGACAACGAGGAAGCUUGCGCAGGCAAAUGUCAUUUUCACUGAAGCUGAAGUGUGAGAUGGUGAAAUGCACAGGGCUUUCUUUAAAGCAGCCGGCUGCGCAGGGCACUGGAAGGUCACUGCAGGUAGCUGGUGUUUCUCACCUUUUGAGGAACUGCCUCCCAGUCCUUCCGUUCCUUCCGGGCGGCUCUCUCGCAGCUAAGGAGGAGCUGCAGGGAGGCUGCACUAUCCCUGCUGGGGGCCUGAAUGGCAGAGCAGCUCCCCAGCUGGGGCUUAGGUUUUAGGGAACAAGGUGACAAUUUGAUGGUUUUCGGUGACAAACACUGUGACCAUAACUGCAGGCCUAAUCCUGCCCCUGUUUAGCUCCACAAGGGGUUUGAGCAGGGGAACUGGUCAGGCCUACAGGGUCUGCUUGCUGCUCUGGCUCUGCUGUGGCCCCAUAAGCUGGCAAGUGGCUUUAAUCCUGAGGCCUACCUGGCCUAAGCCAAAGCACACAAGGGGUGGUAGUGUCCACCGUCUUCCCGUGUGACAGCUGAAAGAAAUCCCUGGUACUUCCAAGGAAGCAGGACUGACCUGCAAGAACAAACAGCUGUGAUAAAACCACCUUUGCUGCCGGUCUAUAGUUAUACCACCCGGCAGCCUGAGUGAGCAGGCUCCCCCCUGGGUCUGAACUAAGAUGAAUCUCACCCCAAGGUCCCCAGCGUGUGCUGCCUCUCCAGGGGAGACCCCUUCUUCCUCCCUGCCGUCCCCGGUUCUCUGGGGAACGGCUGCGGGAGACAGCUAUGGUCACUAGCUGGGAAGGUGACAUGCAGGAGCUGACAAAGCUGGAGCUGACUCUGCUCCCCGCUGAGCCAACUUUGGUGGAAUUACCCAGCCACUUUGCGUAAAAAUGAAUUAAGUAGCCUGGCAUUAGUUCAGACCAUAUUUUAUUAACUUGGCCAGAACUAAGCAGCAUUACACUCAACCCUCCCCACCUCCACCCCAAAUUUUCUUUUUUAUAGCCAAGCUGUAAUAUAUGAAAGCAUGCUGGCAAAGUUUUCCUUAGGUUACAAUCCACUCGUUGCUAACAAACACAUAGCAUGGUGUUAUCACUCAGAUAGGGUGAGCGGCAAUUUGAGCUUAGGCUGGUUUCCAUGGAGUCCUGACAACUGAUUAGAGCAUCGAGGAAGCAGGUGACCUGUUUUGCCACUGACUUGCUGUGUAACCUUGGGAAAAAUUACUUACAGUUUAUCCUGCCUGAUUUUGUGUAUGCCUGAGGCCUAGUCACGUUAGGGGCCCUCCGUAGUCAUCGGGUGAAUGACGGAGACCAAUUCGGACCUUUGCGUGGGCUCAGUCACUCUGUAGAUGUGCCCGUCUCUCUCUAUUGACUGUUAAGGGAUGGAAGAGCAAUAUUUCUUAACUCAGCAGAGUCCCUGAACAAGUCUGCGCCUUACUCUCUCUGCCUCAGUUGCUCUGUGAUACGGGAGAGGCCAUCCAUUUGGACUGCUGCAUGUGAGGCACAGCUGCUAUACCAGCUGACGUGCAUUCGAGGGAAGAAUUUGGUAGCUGGGGCACCUAAAGAACUGCAAAAAUCGCUGUCGGUGCAGGUUACCGCUUCUGGGACACACAUGAAACUUGGUGGAAGUCAGGAAGGUAUUGCAGGAUGGGGCUCUCUGCAAGCACGAGGUACCCCAGGGCGCCUGCCCUGUGGCUGGCCCAUGGGCAGGUGGCGUGGGGCUACUGGGGGUGCUGGGCACCACAGCGCAGAGGUGUCCAAGUGGUCCAGGAGGAGCUUUCUGCUGCCCUUGGAGCCGUGCCAGCGGGCUCGCUGCUGGAUGGGGCACAGGGCCGCUUCUCGUGGUACUUCACAAGACAUGGCCUUUGAAUUGAGCACCAGAGAAGACGCUGCUGUAGCACAUCUUUGAAGAGGCUGCGGGGUAAAUAAGCGCAUUCCUGUACCCUACGCAUUCUUGCGCCCUAAUUAAACCCUAGCAAGAAAUAAACUGCUGUGCCUUUCUUGUUUAUUAGCA